rnacentral:rRNA from 1 species
ACACUCCUGCGGGAGGCAGCAGUGGGGAAUUUUGGACAAUGGGGGCAACCCUGAUCCAGCAAUGCCGCGUGAGUGAAGAAGGCCUUCGGGUUGUAAAGCUCUUUUGUCAGGGAAGAAACGGUGGUGGCGAAUAACUACUACUAAUGACGGUACCUGAAGAAUAAGCACCGGCUAACUACGUGCCAGCAGCCGCGGUAAUACGUAGGGUGCAAGCGUUAAUCGGAAUUACUGGGCGUAAAGCGUGCGCAGGCGGUUGUGUAAGUCAGAUGUGAAAUCCCCGGGCUCAACCUGGGAAUUGCAUUUGAGACUGCACGGCUAGAGUGUGUCAGAGGGGGGUAGAAUUCCACGUGUAGCAGUGAAAUGCGUAGAUAUGUGGAGGAAUACCGAUGGCGAAGGCAGCCCCCUGGGAUAACACUGACGCUCAUGCACGAAAGCGUGGGGAGCAAACAGGAUUAGAUACCCUUGUAGUCCC